rnacentral:rRNA from 1 species
UCCCCUAGUAACUGCGAGUGAAGAGGGAAGAGCUCAAAUUUAGAAUCUGGCAGUAUUUUGCUGUCCGAGUUGUAAUCUAGAGAAGUGCUGCCCGUGCUGGACCAUGUACAAGUCUCCUGGAAUGGAGCGUCAUAGAGGGUGAGAAUCCCGUCUUUGACAUGGACUCCCAGUGCAUUUGUGGUGUGCUCUCAAAGAGUCGAGUUGUUUGGGAAUGCAGCUCUAAAUGGGUGGUAAACUCCAUCUAAAGCUAAAUAUUGGCGAGAGACCGAUAGCGAACAAGUACCGUGAGGGAAAGAUGAAAAGAACUUUGGAAAGAGAGUUAAACAGUAUGUGAAAUUGUUGAAAGGGAAACGCUUAAAGUCAGUCAUGUGUCAGCCAGGGAUCAACCUAGUAUUGCUUGCUGGGUGUACUUCCUGAUCUGAUGGGCCAACAUCAGUUUCGACUGCUGGAGAAGGGUAGAGGGGAAUGUGGCACCUUUUUUGGUGUGUUAUAGCUCUCUGUCAGAUGCAGUGGUCAGGACUGAGGAAGGCAGCAUGCCCACAAAGGGCCGGGUUUCGACCACGUUCAUGCUGAGGAUGUUGGCAUAAUGGCUUUAAUCGACCCGUCUUGAAACACGGACCAAGGAGUCUAACAUGCCUGCAAGUGUUUGGGUGUUUAAA